rnacentral:rRNA from 1 species
UACGAAGGGGGCUAGCGUUGUUCGGAAUUACUGGGCGUAAAGCGCACGUAGGCGGCUUGUCGCGUCGAAUGUGAAAUCUCAGGGCUCAACUCUGACAUUGCAUUCGAUACGGGCAGGCUGGAGUGCGGUAGGGGAGAACGGAAUUCCCGGUGUAGCGGUGAAAUGCGCAGAUAUCGGGAGGAACACCGGUGGCGAAGGCGGUCUCUGGGCCUGUACUGACGCUGAGGAGCGAAAGCGUGGGGAGCGAACAGG